CUGAGAGAGUCUUUCCUUUCUCCCCUUCCCUGUGAGCUAUGGGAAUGUAUGCAUGGUGGUUUCCCUAGGACAGAAGAUGUCCCAUCCUCUUACCCUCCCAGAGAGUCAUCUCUUCUGACAAAGAAUUAAAAAAAGGAAAAAAAAAUAGUUGUCAAAACUAUCCAGAGAGCUUCCCAUCUCUACAAAGAAGAUGAUGAACAUGCAAGAGACUUAAGAACUCCAGUCCAGGCCCUGCAACCCUGCCCCUUCCAUUAGCUGUGGGUCCCCACCUAUAAUUACCUGGUUCCUGAGGAAUGCUGUUUUACCUGGUUUAAUAAUGGUUCCACCUAACAGGAGAGAGGUCAAAAAUUUUGCUGUGUGCUGCUUUUGGGAAAAACAAAUGAACUCACCACUCAAGAUGGGAGUGUGG